AUGGUGCUCGGCGGCUGCGGCAACGGAGCUGAUGGAGCACGAUCCGACCAGUUCAACGGAGGCAGUAGCACGGGGCAGCGGCAGCAGCAUGGAGGGCGUCCGCUUGACUGGGAAGAUGCGAUAGCGAAGAUAUUAGAUCCAAAGAGUGCUCUUUCAGCCAUUGAUGAAGUUAGUAAGUUUAGGGAGUGCCAAGGAAGGUUUGGAAUCAGAUUAGCACAAGAAGCUGCGGCGAGAAUGGAGCCAACCCAAUGGUGGUUUCAAUUUGGAGGGGAUGUUCCUGCAUUGCAGAAGUGUGCAAUGAGAAUUUGCUCACAAUGUGUCUCAUCUAGUGGGUAUGAGAGGAACUGGAGCGCCUUUGCUUUGGUGCACACAAAGCAAAGAAAUCGCCUUUUAUAUGACAAGCUCCACAAGCUAGUUUCUGUCCGCUACAACCUAAAGAUACGUGCUGAAGAAGAUCAAGAGAAAGAGAGAGAUAUAGAUAAAGAGGUUGAUCCAAGUGCAUUGCUGAUAGAUACAACAAUGUUCGAUGAGACAAAUCCAAUAAUGGAGUGGCUGAAUGAGGAUGAAGAGGAUCCAAUUUUGGAUGGAGCCGAUGCGGCCAGUGCUGUUUUUGAGAAAAUAAGGCGCCUCAACUCAAGCAGGAACAAUUCUUAUGUUCGUACAAAGGCUAAUAAGAAGAAAAGAAAGAGGAAUCAUGAUGAGGAGAAUGAGUAUGUCGAAACUGACAGUGAGGAUGACGACAACGAGAAUGAAUAUGUUGAUAAUGAGAGUGAGGAUGAUGAUGGGGUGAGUGAGGAUGAUGAGGAUGAUCAACAAGAUCAGCAAGAAACACAAAUGCAAGUGGAAGAAGAGACACAAGUACAAGUUGAAAAGGAGACACAAGCAAGCAUUGGCAAUUUGGAGACUCGUAGAUCUGGACGACUAGUUAGGAAGAAGACCAAGGAAAUCAACAGCCUCUACUCGUAG
rnacentral:rRNA from 1 species